rnacentral:rRNA from 1 species
UACAGGGGGGGCAAGCGUUGUUCGGAAUUACUGGGCGUAAAGGGUCUGUAGGUGGCCAACUAAGUCAGACGUGAAAUCCCUCAGCUUAACUGGGGAACUGCGUGUGAUACUGGAUGGCUUGGAUUUGGGAGAGGGAUGCGGAAUUCCAGGUGUAGCGGUGAAAUGCGUAGAUAUCUGGAGGAACACCGGUGGCGAAGGCGGCAUCCUGGACCAAUAUUGACGCUGAGGAGCGAAAGCCAGGGGAGCAAACGGG